CUCUAACCACUAGGCUACCCUGCUAUGUGACUGAGAGAGUGGAAGCUAUGUGACUGAGAGAGUGGAAGCUAUGUGACUGAGAGAGUGGAAGCUAUGUGACUGAGAGAGUGGAAGCUAUGUGACUGAGAGAGUGGAAGCUAUGUGACUGAGAGAGUGGAAGCUAUGUGACUGAGAGAGUGGAAGCUAUGUGACUGAGAGAGUGGAAGCUAUGUGACUGAGAGAGUGGAAGCUAUGUGACUGAGAGAGUGGAAGCUACGUGACUGAGAGAGUGGAAGCUACGUGACUGAGAGAGUGGAAGCUACGUGACUGAGAGAAGGGAAGCUACGUGACUGAGAGAGUGGAAGCUACGUGACUGAGAGAGUGGAAGCUACGUGACUGAGAGAGUGGAAGCUACGUGACUGAGAGAGUGGAAGCUACGUGACUGAGAGAGUGGAAGCUACGUGACUGAGAGAAGGGAAGCUACGUGACUGAGAGAGGGGAAGCUACGUGACUGAGAGAGUGGAAGCUACGUGACAGAGAGAGGAAGCUACGUGACUGAGAGAGGGGAAGCUACGUGACUGAGAGACGGGAAGCUACGUGACUGAGAGAGUGGAAGCUACGUGACUGAGAGAGUGGAAGCUACGUGACUGAGAGAGUGGAAGCUACGUGACUGAGAGAGUGGAAGCUACGUGACUGAGAGAGUGGAAGCUACGUGACUGAGAGAGUGGAAGCUACGUGACUGAGAGAGUGGAAGCUACGUGACUGAGAGAGGGGAAGCUACGUGACUGAGAGAGGGGAAGCUACGUGACUGAGAGAGGGGAAGCUACGUGACUGAGAGAGUGGAAGCUACGUGACUGAGAGAGGGGAAGCUACGUGACUGAGAGAGGGGAAGCUACGUGACUGAGAGAGUGGAAGCUACGUGACUGAGAGAGUGGAAGCUACGUGACUGAGAGGGUGGAAGCUACAGUGCCUUGCGAA